rnacentral:rRNA from 1 species
AGCUCCAAUAGCGGAUAUUAAAGUUGAGGUGGGGAAAAAGAAAGAAGAGGGACCUCGGAGGACGGAGGGGGGUUCGGAGGAAGGAGUGCCAAAGCUCUAAAGGCCGUGGUUGUGCCAGAGGUCUCGGGGUGCUCUUAACCGAGUGUCCUGCGAUGCUGGCAGGUUUACUUUGAAAAAAUUAGAGUGCUCAAAGCAGGCUUUUACGCCUGAAUAUUCGUGCAUGGAAUAAUAGAAUAGGAAGUCGUUUCUAUUUUGUUGGUUUUCGGAAAUCGACUUAAUGAUUAAUAGGGACAGUCGGGGGCAUUUGUAUUCAAACGACAGAGGUGAAAUUCUUGGACCGUUUGAAGACAAACUACUGCGAAAGCAUUUGCCAAGAAUGUUUUCA